rnacentral:rRNA from 1 species
GAUGAACGCUGGCGGCGUGCCUAAUACAUGCAAGUCGAGCGAACGGACGAGAAGCUUGCUUUUCUGAUGUUAGCGGCGGACGGGUGAGUAACACGUGGAUAACCUACCUAUAAGACUGGGAUAACUUCGGGAAACCGGAGCUAAUACCGGAUAAUAUUUUGAACCGCAUGGUUCAAAAGUGAAAGACGGUCUUGCUGUCACUUAUAGAUGGAUCCGCGCUGCAUUAGCUAGUUGGUAAGGUAACGGCUUACCAAGGCAACGAUGCAUAGCCGACCUGAGAGGGUGAUCGGCCACACUGGAACUGAGACACGGUCCAGACUCCUACGGGAGGCAGCAGUAGGGAAUCUUCCGCAAUGGGCGAAAGCCUGACGGACCAACGCCGCGUGAGUGAUGAAGGUCUUCGGAUCGUAAAACUCUGUUAUUAGGGAAGAACAUAUGUGUAAGUAACUGUGCACAUCUUGACGGUACCUAAUCAGAAAGCCACGGCUAACUACGUG